rnacentral:rRNA from 1 species
GUGUUGAAGUUUUUAAGGGCGCACGGUGGAUGCCUUGGCAUCAAGAGCCGAUGAAGGACGUGGGAAUCUGCGAUAAGCCUGGUGGAGUCGAUAACCGGACGUUGAGGCCAGGAUUUCCGAAUGGGGGAACCCCGCACCAUGUUAUGUGGUGUGACCUGCAGCUGAAUGUAUAGGCUGUGUGGAGGGAACGCGGGGAAGUGAAACAUCUCAGUACCCGCAGGAAGAGAAAACAAUAGUGAUUCCGUUAGUAGUGGCGAGCGAACGCGGAUGGGGCUAAACCGGUUGGUGUGUGAUAGCGGAUAGGCGUUGCAUCAUCGGGGUUGUGGGGUCCACAUGUACCAGUUCUAUCUACGCUGGUGGGAUGAGGUGCAGGCGUAUAGGUGAAUCGGUUGGAAUGCCGGACCAGAGAGGGUGAUAGUCCCGUAGGUGUAAUGCGUGUCUGCCGUUCUUGUGUGGAUGCCCGAGUAGCACGGGGCCCGUGAAACCUUGUGUGAAUCUGCCAGGACCACCUGGUAAGCCUGAAUACUACUUGAUGACCGAUAGUGAAUCAGUACCGUGAGGGAAUGGUGAAAAGUACCCCGGGAGGGGAGUGAAAUAGUACCUGAAACCGUGCGCUUACAAUCCGUUAGAGCAGCCACUUGUGGUUGUGAUGGCGUGCCUUUUGAAGAAUGAGCCUGCGAGUUAGUGUUACGUCGCGAGGUUAACCCGUGGGGGGAAGCCGUAGCGAAAGCGAGUCUGAAUAGGGCGAGUGAGUGGCGUGAUCUAGACCCGAAGCGAAGUGAUCUACCCAUGGCCAGGUUGAAGCGCGUGUAAGAGCGUGUGGAGGACCGAACCCACUUCAGUUGAAAAUGGAGGGGAUGAGCUGUGGGUAGGGGUGAAAGGCCAAUCAAACUUCGUGAUAGCUGGUUCUCCCCGAAAUGCAUUUAGGUGCAGCGUUGCGUGUUUCUUGCUGGAGGUAGAGCUACUGGAUAGGCGAUGGGCCCUACAAGGUUACUGACCUUAGCCAAACUCCGAAUGCCGGUAAGUUAGAGCGCAGCAGUGAGACUGUGGGGGAUAAGCUUCAUAGUCGAGAGGGAAACAGCCCAGAACGCCAACUAAGGCCCCUAAGCGUGUGCUAAGUGGGAAAGGAUGUGGAGUUGCUGUGACAACCAGGAGGUUGGCUUAGAAGCAGCCACCCUUGAAAGAGUGCGUAAUAGCUCACUGGUCAAGUGAUUCCGCGCCGAUAAUGUAGCGGGGCUCAAGCACACCGCCGAAGUUGCGUCAUUCAAACAUGUCAUUGGCCUUUGUGGUCCAGUGGUUUGGAUGGGUAGGGGAGCGUCGUGUGGACGGUGAAGUCGCGGUGGAAACCAGCGGUGGAGGCCACACGAGUGAGAAUGCAGGCAUGAGUAGCGAAUGACGGGUGAGAAACCCGUCCGCCGAAUGAUCAAGGGUUCCAGGGUCAAGCUAAUCUGCCCUGGGUUAGUCGGGACCUAAGGCGAGGCCGACAGGCGUAGUCGAUGGACAACGGGUUGAUAUUCCCGUACCGGCGAAGGACCGCCCAUACUGAGCAAUGGAUGCUAACCAUGACGGAUUCCAGCGUUGAUGCCUUUUAGGUGUCUUGUUGGUUGGUGUGGUGGGAACCGAUGUUGUGAGGUCAGCGUAUUAACAGGUGUGACGCAGGAAGGUAGCCGAGCCAGGCAAUGGAAUUGACCUGGUCCAAGGGUGUAGGAAGAACGGUAGGCAAAUCCGCUGUUCAUUGUUUCUGAGACCUGAUAGGCGCCCCGUUUGUGGGGUGAUUCGGUGAUCCUAUGCUGCCUAGAAAAGCAUCGGCGCGAGGUCCCAGUCCGCCCGUACCCUAAACCGACACAGGUGAUCAGGUAGAGAAUACUAAGGCGAUCGAGAGAAUCAUGGUUAAGGAACUCGGCAAAAUGCCCCCGUAACUUCGGAAGAAGGGGGGCCUGCCCCGUGA